GACGAACGCUGGCGGCGUGCCUAAUACAUGCAAGUAGAACGCACAGUUUAUACCGUAGCUUGCUACACCAUAGACUGUGAGUUGCGAACGGGUGAGUAACGCGUAGGUAACCUGCCUGGUAGCGGGGGAUAACUGUUGGAAACGAUAGCUAAUACCGCAUAAUAUUGAUUAUUGCAUGAUAAUUGAUUGAAAGAUGCUAUUGCAUCACUACCAGAUGGACCUGCGUUGUAUUAGCUAGUAGGUGAGGUAACGGCUCACCUAGGCGACGAUACAUAGCCGACCUGAGAGGGUGAUCGGCCACACUGGGACUGAGACACGGCCCAGACUCCUACGGGAGGCAGCAGUAGGGAAUCUUCGGCAAUGGACGAAAGUCUGACCGAGCAACGCCGCGUGAGUGAAGAAGGUUUUCGGAUCGUAAAGCUCUGUUGUAAGAGAAGAACGGGUGUGAGAGUGGAAAGUUCACACUGUGACGGUAUCUUACCAGAAAGGGACGGCUAACUACGUG
rnacentral:rRNA from 1 species